GCGUCUAUGGUGUAGUGGUUAACAUUAGCGCCUUCCAUAACUAGAAAGUUAGCGAGCGCUGGCCUUGGGUUCGAUUCCCGAUGGACGCA
rnacentral:tRNA from 1 species